CCUAGGAGAAAGAGUGAUAUUAGAAGAGUCAGGUUAGUCUUACAUCACAGAGCAAUGGUGAUAGUUAAAUGCUAGGACCACAAUCCUACAAAACGUUGUAAUCUACUUCAUAGACGAAGAAAAUGCACUUUAGGAUUCCUGGGUUUGAAAAGCUAGAACCUGUUAUUUUGCUUAUGACGUGCAUAUGCUUAACUGAAAACUAAAUACUGAUUUGCAAUAUCUAAACUAUUCAUUCAGUCUCAGCAAACACUAUUCCUCAUAUUAAAGAAGCAGAAAAAUGUAUGCCUAAGAAUAUAUAGACAUCUUUUUACAAAUUGAAGGUUUGUGGCAACCCUGCAUUGAGCAAGUCUAUUGGCGCCAUUUUUCCAACAUCAUUUGCUCACUUCCUGUCUCUGUGUCACAUGUUAGUAAUUCUCACAAUAUUUCAAACUUUUUCAUUAUUAUUAUAUUGGUUUUGGUGAUCAGUGAUUAGUGAUCUUUGGUAUUACUAUUGUAAUUUGGGGGCAGUUAUUAGCAAUAAAAUUUUUUUGUUUGUGUUUUUUUUUUUUUGCAGUACGCGGGCCUCUCACUGUUGUGGCCUCUCCCAUUGUGGAGCACAGGCUCCGGACGCGCAGGCUCAGCGGCCAUGGCUCACGGGCCCAGCCGCUCCGCGGCAUGUGGGAUCCUCCUGGACCGGGGCACGAACCCGUGUCCCCUGCAUCGGCAGGCGGGCUCUCAACCACUGCGCCACCAGGGAAGCCCUAAAGUAUUUUUUUAAUUGAGUUCUCCUGCUCAUGAUCAGUGAUACAGAACACCUAUGUGAACUACAAGUUCGAACAAGAAGCCGAAUAAAAUAGAAGAUGUCAGACACUUACCACCACUAAUUUUCCGUCUUCCACUUUUCUUGUUAUUAUGCUUUCCUUUCCAUCCCAUUCCUGACGUUGAACCAAUGCGCCAUCUGUAAAGUUGCAGACAGUCUGCCAAAAUAAAGUACUUUUU